rnacentral:rRNA from 1 species
AUUGAACGCUGGCGGCAGGCCUAACACAUGCAAGUCGAGCGGAUGACGGGAGCUUGCUCCUUGAUUCAGCGGCGGACGGGUGAGUAAUGCCUAGGAAUCUGCCUGGUAGUGGGGGACAACGUUUCGAAAGGAACGCUAAUACCGCAUACGUCCUACGGGAGAAAGCAGGGGACCUUCGGGCCUUGCGCUAUCAGAUGAGCCUAGGUCGGAUUAGCUAGUUGGUGGGGUAAUGGCUCACCAAGGCGACGAUCCGUAUCUGGUCUGAGAGGAUGAUCAGUUCAAAUGGAACUGAGACACGGUCCAGACUCCUACGGGAGGCAGCAGUGGGGAAUAUUGGACAAUGGGCGAAAGCCUGAUCCAGCCAUGCCGCGUGUGUGAAGAAGGUCUUCGGAUUGUAAAGCACUUUAAGUUGGGAGGAAGGGCAGUAAGUUAAUACCUUGCUGUUUUGACGUUACCGACAGAAUAAGCACCGGCUAACUCUGUGCCAGCCGCCGCAGUAAGAC